rnacentral:misc_RNA from 1 species
UUUUUCUUUGUUUUUUUGCACAUACAGUGAACUUCACAGCUACUUUUCUGCACCUCCACACAAGUUAGAGAAGUUCUAGAGCAAAUCCAUUAGUUUGUCAAGUAAAAUCCAAUAGCAGAAAUCCUUUAGGUAUUUUUUUCCUCCUAUCUGGAUUGCUGCCUUUGUUUUCUGUGGUUUGAUUACUAGGAUGAGGGGAAGUAAAUUGCUAUCAUUUCCAUUCUUCUCGCCUAAUUCCUUACUGGUUUGCUCCUUAAUCCUAUAUAAAGCAAUCUCUUUUCUGAUUUGCCCAUCCUUUCCUUUACGACGGAUUGUCAAACGUCCAAGGAAUGGUAUGAGGAUUCCAGUUCUCCAUCUUCCAUUCCAGAUAAGCAAACAGUUUGUUACAGUUACCUAGCCUUUCAAAUUGCCUUCGUUUUUUACUGAAGCAAAUAUAUUCUAACCUUUUUCUUUUGUUGUGAGAUGGAAUCAUGAUUCCUUUUUCUAGGUGUGUUUUCUUUCAUUUGAAUGCUUUGAUGGAACAUGGAGGAGCUCAUCUUUUGAGGGUUUUUUUU